rnacentral:rRNA from 1 species
CACCAGGCGCGAAAACUUUGCAAUGCGGGAAACCGUGACAAGGGAACUCUGAGUGCCCGUUAAAUCGGGCUGUCCAUCGGUUUAAAUAACCGGUGAAGAAAGGGCCGGGCAAGACCGGUGCCAGCCGCCGCGGUAAUACCGGCGGCUCGAGUGGUGGCCACUAUUACUGGGCUUAAAGCGUUCGUAGCUGGUUUGUUAAGUCUCUGGGGAAAUCUUCCGGCUUAACCGGAGGGCGUCUCAGGGAUACUGGCAGACUAGGGACCGGGAGAGGUGAGAGGUACUCCAGGGGUAGGAGUGAAAUCCUGUAAUCCUUGGGGGACCACCUGUGGCGAAGGCGUCUCACCAGAACGGCUCCGACAGUGAGGGACGAAAGCUGGGGGAGCAAACCGGAUUAGAUACCCGGGUAGUCCCAGCUGUAAACGAUGCGCGUUAGGUGUAUCGGUGACCACGAGUCACCGAGGUGCCGAAGAGAAAUCGUGAAACGUGCCGCCUGGGAAGUACGGUCGCAAGGCUGAAACUUAAAGGAAUUGGCGGGGGAGCACAAGGGCGAUUCGCG